GAUGAACGCUGGCGGCGUGCCUAAUACAUGCAAGUCGAGCGAAUGGAUUAAGAGCUUGCUCUUAUGAAGUUAGCGGCGGACGGGUGAGUAACACGUGGGUAACCUGCCCAUAAGACUGGGAUAACUCCGGGAAACCGGGGCUAAUACCGGAUAACAUUUUGAACCGCAUGGUUCGAAAUUGAAAGGCGGCUUCGGCUGUCACUUAUGGAUGGACCCGCGUCGCAUUAGGUAGUUGGUGAGGUAACGGCACACCAAGGCAACGAUGCGUAGCCGACCUGAGAGGGUGAUCGGCCAGACUGGGACUGAGACACGGCCCAGACUCCUACGGGAGGAAGCAGUAGGGAAUCUUCCGCAAUGGACGAAAGUCUGACGGAGCAACGCCGCGUGAGUGAUGGAGGCUUUCGGGUCGUAAAACUCUGUUGUUAGGGAAGAACAAGUGCUAGUUGAAUAAGCUGGCACCUUGACGGUACCUAACCAGAAAGCCACGGCUAACUACGUGCCAGCCGCCGCCGUAA
rnacentral:rRNA from 1 species